AGUGAACGCUGGCGGUAGGCCUAACACAUGCAAGUCGAACGGCAGCACAGUAAGAGCUUGCUCUUACGGGUGGCGAGUGGCGGACGGGUGAGGAAUACAUCGGAAUCUACUUUUUCGUGGGGGAUAACGUAGGGAAACUUACGCUAAUACCGCAUACGACCUACGGGUGAAAGCAGGGGAUCUUCGGACCUUGCGCGAUUGGAUGAGCCGAUGUCGGAUUAGCUAGUUGGCGGGGUAAAGGCCCACCAAGGCGACGAUCCGUAGCUGGUCUGAGAGGAUGAUCAGCCACACUGGAACUGAGACACGGUCCAUACUCCUACGGGAGGCAGCAGUGGGGAAUAUUGGACAAUGGGCGCAAGCCUGAUCCAGCCAUACCGCGUGGGUGAAGAAGGCCUUCGGGUUGUAAAGCCCUUUUGUUGGGAAAGAAAAGCAGCAGGUUAAUACCCCGCUGUUCUGACGGUACCCAAAGAAUAAGCACCGGCUAACUUCGUG
rnacentral:rRNA from 1 species